rnacentral:rRNA from 1 species
AGAGUUUGAUCAUGGCUCAGAUUGAACGCUGGCGGUAUGCUUAACACAUGCAAGUCGAACGGUAGCAGCUCUUCGGAGGCUGACGAGUGGCGGACGGGUGAGUAACGCGUAGGAAUCUGCCUAUUAGUGGGGGACAACUUGUGGAAACGCAAGCUAAUACCGCAUACGCCCUACGGGGGAAAGGAGGGGAUCUUCGGACCUUUCGCUAAUAGAUGAGCCUGCGUUAGAUUAGCUAGUUGGUGGGGUAAGAGCCUACCAAGGCGACGAUCUAUAGCUGUUCUGAGAGGAAGAUCAGCCACACUGGGACUGAGACACGGCCCAGACUCCUACGGGAGGCAGCAGUGGGGAAUAUUGGACAAUGGGCGAAAGCCUGAUCCAGCAAUACCGCGUGUGUGAAGAAGGCCUUAGGGUUGUAAAGCACUUUCAAUUGGGAGGAAAAACAAGGGUUAAUACCCCUUGUCUUGACAUUACCUUUAGAAGAAGCACCGGCUAACUCCGUG